CGGCUAUAUCACAUAGAAUCACCGGUUCUUGUACGAUCACCGAAGUUAAGCAACCUUGAACCUCGUUAGUACCUAGAUGGGUAACCGCUUUGGUAUACUAAGUACUGUAAG